AUUGAACGCUGGCGGCAAGCCUAACACAUGCAAGUCGAGCGGCAGCGGAAGAUUUUUUGCCGGCGAGCGGCGAACGGGUGAGUAAUAUCUGGGAAUCUACCUAAUGGAGAGGGAUAACUAUUGGAAACGAUAGCUAAUACCGCAUAAUGUCGAAAGACCAAAGUGGGGGAUCUUUUAAAAGACCUCAUGCCAUCAGAUGAGCCCAGACGGGAUUAGCUAGUAGGUGAGGUAAUGGCUUACCUAGGCGACGAUCCCUAGCUGUUCUGAGAGGAUGACCAGCCACACUGGAACUGAGACACGGUCCAGACUCCUACGGGAGGCAGCAGUGGGGAAUAUUGCACAAUGGGGGAAACCCUGAUGCAGCUAUGCCGCGUGUGUGAAGAAGGCCUUAGGGUUGUAAAGCACUUUUAGUAGAGAAGAAGUUUUGAUUGCAAAUAACAAUCAAGAUUGACGUUAUCUACAGAAAAAGCACCGGCUAACUCCGUGCCAGCAGCCGCGGUAAUACGGAGGGUGCGAGCGUUAAUCGGAAUUACUGGGCGUAAAGAGUGCGUAGGCGGUUUAUUAUGUCAGGUGUGAAAUCCCUGAGCUUAACUUAGGAACUGCAUUUGAAACUGAUAAACUAGAGUUUCGUAGAGGAAAGUAGAAUUCCAGGUGUAGCGGUGAAAUGCGUAGAGAUCUGGAGGAAUACCAGUGGCGAAGGCGACUUUCUGGACGAAAACUGACGCUAAGGUACGAAAGCGUGGGGAGCAAACAGGAUUAGAUACCCUGGUAGUCCAUGCUGUAAACGAUGUCAAUUUGAAGGUCGUGGCUUUUUUUUUGAGCUAUGGCUUUCGUAGCUAACGCGUUAAAUUGACCGCCUGGGGAGUACGACCGCAAGGUUAAAACUCAAAUGAAUUGACGGGGGCCCGCACAAGCGGUGGAGCAUGUGGUUUAAUUCGAUGCAACGCGAAAAACCUUACCUACUCUUGACAUCCAGAGAAUUUAGCAGAGAUGCUUUAGUGCCUUCGGGAACUCUGAGACAGGUGCUGCAUGGCUGUCGUCAGCUCGUGUUGUGAAAUGUUGGGUUAAGUCCCGCAACGAGCGCAACCCCUUUCCUUUGUUGCCAGCGAUUAGGUCGGGAACUCAAAGGAGACUGCCAGGUGAUAAACCGGAGGAAGGUGGGGACGACGUCAAGUCAUCAUGGCCCUUACGAGUAGGGCUACACACGUGCUACAAUGGUAUAUACAAAGGGAAGCAAUCCUGCAAAGGCUAGCGAAUCUCAUAAAGUAUAUCUUAGUCCGGAUUGGAGUCUGCAACUCGGCUCCAUGAAGUCGGAAUCGCUAGUAAUCGUGGAUCAGAAUGCCACGGUGAAUACGUUCCCGGGCCUUGUACACACCGCCCGUCACACCAUGGAAGUGAGUUGCAAAAGAAGUGAAUAAUCCUAACCUUUUUAUAAAGGAGGGAGUUUACCACUUUGUGAUUCAUAACUGGGGUG
rnacentral:rRNA from 1 species